CCUACGGGAGGCAGCAGUGGGGAAUUUUCCGCAAUGGGCGAAAGCCUGACGGAGCGACGCUGCGUGAAGGAUGACGGCCUGCGGGUUGUAAACUUCUUUUCUCGAAGAAGAAUCAAUGACGGUAUUCGAGGAAUAAGCAUCGGCUAACUCUGUGCCAGCAGCCGCGGUAAGACAGAGGAUGCAAGUGUUAUUCGGAUUGAUUGGGCGUAAAGCGUCUGUAGGCGGUUUAGAAAGUCUCUUGUGAAAUUCUUCAGCUCAACUGAGGGUCCGCAAAAGAAACUUCUAGGCUUGAGGGAAGUAGAGGUAUAGGGAAUUUCCGGUGGAGCGGUGAAAUGCGUAGAUAUCGGAAGGAACACCAAUAUGGCGAAGGCACUGUACUGGGCUUUUCCUGACGCUAAGAGACGAAAGCUAAAGGAGUGAUUAGGAUUAGAUACCCUAGUAAUUUUAGCCGUAAACGAUGGAAACUCACUGCCGAGCCGGUAUUCGGAGCGGUGGUCAAGCUAACGCGUGAAGUUUCCCGCCUGGGGACUACGCAUGCAAAUGUGAAACUCAAAGGAAUUGACGGA
rnacentral:rRNA from 1 species